rnacentral:rRNA from 1 species
AUUGAACGCUGGCGGCAGGCCUAACACAUGCAAGUCGAGCGAGCGGCGGACGGGUGAGUAAUGUCUGGGAAACUGCCUGAUGGAGGGGGAUAACUACUGGAAACGGUAGCUCAUACAGCAUACAGUCAGAUGUGCCCAGAUGGGAUUAGCUAGUAGGUGGGGUAAUGGCUCAACUAGGCGACGAUCCCUAGCUGGUCUGAGAGGAUGACCAGCCACUCUGGAAAGGAGACAAGGUCCAGCCUCCGACGGGAGGCAGCAGUGGGGAUUAUUGCACAAGGGGCGCAAGCCUGAUGCGGCCAGGCCGCGUGUGUGAAGAAGGCCUUCGGGUUGUAAAGCACUUUCAGCGAGGAGGCAUUACUCGCAGAAGAAGCACCGGCUAACUCCGUGCCAGCAGCCGCGGUAAUAC